rnacentral:snRNA from 1 species
GUCACUUCUCCGCCUUUUGGCUAAGAUCAAGCGUGGUAUCUGUUCUUAUCAGUUUAAUAUAUGGUAAGUCCUCUAUCUGAGGACAACAUAUUAAAUGGAUUUUUGGAGCAGGGAGUUGGGAGAGGAGCUUGCUCCAUCCACUCUGGACAUCUACCUGGUAUUGCAGUUCCUCCAGGAAUGGUGUACUCCUG